rnacentral:ncRNA from 2 species
GUCUCACGACAGGGGAGCGCCAGCAGGGGCGCUGAGAGUGCAGAUCAUGCUGCAGACCCUCGAACCUGAUGCGGCUAGCACCGCCGAAGGAAGUCGAGACUCUUCUACC